AUUCUGUAAUAAAAGAAAUAAGGAUACUUAAUGGAAUCCCUGGAGUCCGACAUUUCUGCUUUUAAUAUGCUUGUAACAUUUGUCCAGCACACCACUGUGUUCUCUGAAAAGAGCGAUCAUUUUCACUGUAUGGCGUUACGAUAGACUAUAUCCCCAAGGUCUUCCAAAAGGUCUAUGUAAGCCUGACAGCUAGGAAACGUUUACUGUUGUAGAACAUAAAUUCUGGCAACUUACUGAUGCAAGCCUACUCCUGAUGGAUGGCUCUUUAGAGUAAAAAUCACUCUACAUAUAUCAGCUAAAUGCUAAGUGAUGAAAAUAUUUCCAAAUCAUAUUCUGUAUCAUUGAGGACCUCCUUAAAUUUAACAGCAGGUUAAAGAUUUGGGGUUGUCCUACUGAGGAGCAAUCUUUUGCUAGAAAAUAUGCAUUUGCUUGUCUUGAAAGUUCAUUCAUUGAAAGUCCCUGCCAACCAGGUAGAUUUAACCAUAUUUUUUUUUUUUCAACAUUUAUUUAUUUUUGGGACAGAGAGAGACAGAGCAUGAACGGGGGAGGGACAGAGAGAGAGGGAGACACAGAAUCAGAAACAGGCUCCAGGCUCUGAGCCAUCAGCCCAGAGCCCGACGCGGGGCUCGAACUCACGGACCGCGAGAUCGUGACCUGGCUGAAGUCGGACGCUUAACCGACUGCGCCACCCAGGCGCCCCGAUUUAACCAUAUUUUAAGCAAGAUCUGUUUUCUUUUUUCAUUUUCCGUUAAGAUAAAGUGUUCAAUUAAAUCUGAAAUAGAUGGGCCUAAACUAAACUUUCCAGGGGACCUUUUCUAUACCAGUCUUGCUGGGAGAUAAUUGUUAUUAAUCUAAGUCCUAAGGGAUGGUGGAACAUUGUUCAACAUUGGCAAUAAAAAACAAAAUAACUCCCUCAAAGGGGGAAAAAAAAAGCAAGAUUUGGGUUCUAAAAUUUUGUAUUAAGAACCCUUAAAGGGGCGCCUGGGUGGCGCAGUCGGUUAAGCGUCCGACUUCAGCCAGGUCACGAUCUCGCGGUCCGUGAGUUCGAGCCCCGCGUCGGGCUCUGGGCUGAUGGCUCAGAGCCUGGAGCCUGUUUCCGAUUCUGUGUCUCCCUCUCUCUCUGCCCCUCCCCUGUUCAUGCUCUGUCUCUCUCUGUCCCAAAAAUAAAAAUAAACGUUGAAAAAAAAAAAAAAAGAACCCUUCAAUUCUAAUUGGUUGGUUUCACUCCUAUAGCAAAGAUUUAAAAGAUAAAAACUGGGAAAGAUUUAAAGCAAUUAGAAAAUGUAAUAUCUAUCGUAUCUACUUAUUUGGUUUUGGGAAAAAUAGAUUAUACUUGUGAAAAAAAUUU
rnacentral:lncRNA from 1 species